rnacentral:rRNA from 1 species
CAGCCGCCGCGGGAAUACGUAGGGUGCAAGCGUUAAUCGGAAUUACUGGGCGUAAAGCGUGCGCAGGCGGCUUCUUAAGUCGGAUGUGAAAUCCCUGAGCUUAACUUAGGAAUUGCAUUCGAUACUGGGAAGCUAGAGUAUGGGAGAGGAUGGUAGAAUUCCAGGUGUAGCGGUGAAAUGCGUAGAGAUCUGGAGGAAUACCGAUGGCGAAGGCAGCCAUCUGGCCUAAUACUGACGCUGAGGUACGAAAGCAUGGGGAGCAAACAGGAUUAGAUACCCCAGUAGUCCCUGUCUCUUAUAC